GAACCCUCAGUUCGAUUUUGUUGGAACAGUUAUGAAAAACAAAAAAAAAACAAAAACAUUUAACUCGCAAUCUGAAAAACGUCCGAAGUCGAGUCCGUAAAACGCAGGACUGUUGGAAAACGCCGGUGAAAAUCAAAAACUCUGCGCGUAAAAGAAACGCGUCAACGUUUUUAUAGUGAAGAGUGUGCAGUGAAGAAACCGUAUUCGUUCUAACCAAGACGUAGAAAACUUCUUCGAUCAGCGAACACGCUCCGACUUUCGCUCCUUAAGAGAUGCGGAUUUCCCGUCCGGGGAGGUUCAUUUGAAAAAAAAAACUGACGAACAAUCGCGUCGGUUGUGUUGUUGUUGCUUUUUUGACCGCAUAAGGGAUACACGCGCCGUAUUAUAUACGCUGAAAUUCGACUAUACCGCUGAGAAUCGUUUUUUGUUCGUAAUCUCAGCU